UUUAUUAAUUUUUGUAAAAUCCGCGACAUUUUCUUAGAUUUGUCAAAUUGGGACUUCCCCAUUCUCACGCCCGUGCUCUUGUUCUUCUCUAUUACAAUGAAAAUCAAAUUAAUUUUCUGCAAUCUGGGUUCGCCAUAUAUUUCAUGCCAUUUGGAGAAAUUUUCAAGUUCAAAAUUGUUAGUUUGUAGCUUUACUAAGCGUGUGUUUUGAGCACAAGAUACAAAAUGUUUUCUAGUCUUUGUCCAGUAAUUUAAAGUUUUUUCUAGUGAAUUGUUUAGAUAUGUAAUGCAAGGAGUAUGGAAUAACAACAAAGCGUGGAGUAAUAUAUUUUCAUAUAAUCUUCCUCCCCCCUUUUCUUUGUCUACUAAGAAAUCAGGUUACACUGAAAAAUCAGAUCAGUUAGUGAACAUUUGAAAUAUUAAAACCUUUGUCGAAAACAUUUUUUGUGAUAUUCGUCUUUUCUGAUAAAUAUUUGAUCAUUUGCUUAAAAAGUGACUUGCGGAUUUUACAGCAAAGACUUGAUUUGAAAUAGAUUAAAACGAAAACGACGGAUUUCUUCCUAAUAAUUUAUCAGAAAAAGUUACAAGGUUGCAGUUACAAAUCGUUACUCGUGUAUGCUACUUUCCCAAACAAGGAUCAAUUGACAGUCCUUCAAAUCUAUCUGCAUAAUUAUAGGGGGGGGGGGGAAGUUGUGAAAAUAUUUACCUCUGUUAUUGUGAGCUUGUGAAACUAGUGAUAAAUCAAACUAAAGAAACGCAACCAAACCCUUCUGGAGAGUAGAAAUCAACUAAAAGUGGAGAGAAUAUUCUUUAAAAUGUAAGUAAUAAAUUUCACAUAAAUUGUACUCUUAAUUUAAUAAAUAAUUUAUUUGCAA